UGAGGAAUAUUGGUCAAUGGACGCAAGUCUGAACCAGCCAAGUAGCGUGCAGGAUGACGGCCCUAUGGGUUGUAAACUGCUUUUAUCUGGGGAUAAAGUGGGGAACGUGUUCCCUUUUGCAGGUACCAUAUGAAUAAGGACCGGCUAAUUCCGUGCCAGCAGCCGCGGUAAUACGGAAGGUUCGGGCGUUAUCCGGAUUUAUUGGGUUUAAAGGGAGCGUAGGCCGUUUGGUAAGCGUGUUGUGAAAUGUAGGAGCUCAACUUUUAGAUUGCAGCGCGAACUGGCAGACUUGAGUGCGCACAACGUAGGCGGAAUUCAUGGUGUAGCGGUGAAAUGCUUAGAUAUCAUGACGAACUCCGAUUGCGAAGGCAGCUUACGGGAGCACAACUGACGCUAAAGCUCGAAGGUGCGGGUAUCGAACAGG
rnacentral:rRNA from 1 species